rnacentral:lncRNA from 1 species
UGUGGCUAAUUACCACUAACGAUGGCAUACCUCAUCCUGCCAAAACAAGGUAAUAUUUCUUGGGAAGAGGGAAGCCAAAAAGCAAAGGACCUACACGGACAACAAGGGAAGAGAUGACAUCUUUCGACACUUGUGGUGUUAGCAAAACAAAAAAACUUCAUUAUCGACAACAGUUCUAUUCAGAACAUAGAGAUGCCACAUUGAUGUCAAACAGUAAUUUACGUACUCAAUCAACAUAUAUGGCAACGAUAAAAGAAACUUAGUGUUGCAAAGCUAAUUAGUGUACAGCACGAUUGCAAGCAGCUCAGCUUCUGCACUGUUAUAUGUUACGGUUGGCUGCCACUAUACGUUAAAAUGAAAAAUAAUAGAAGAAAUGUGUGUGCAGUGGCAUAUUCACUUCAGUAUCUUGUAAUUCUUGUUGUUCGUGUUUGUGGUGAGUGCUAAUAAUCGAGAAGAGA